rnacentral:lncRNA from 1 species
UAAAGGAGUACAAGGGGUACUCAAACCCUUACAAUUCAAGUCAAAAGAUUAAAUGCUUUGUAAACAUGCAAUAGGAUUAGUACACCAAUCCGCAAAAGAAAAAGUGGACUUGCGACCAGCUCUGCCACUAAACCAAAUCCACGAAACUGCCGUGAUAUUAUCAAUCAGCUUAGAAACAUCAGCCACCUCUCCUCGGAAUAUGAUAUUGUUCCUCAAUCUCCAUAAACACCAAUUGGUAGUUAACCAAAUCAAAUGUC